AAGAGAGGUCUUUCUUUAUGGUUAUGAAAUCGCUUUGAUUGAAAAGCAAGUCGAUGAUGCCAUAAGUCAAACGGGCGGGUGAGGCGAGAGUCCUUCACUGCACUCACUGGAGAGAGGGUAACAUAUCCUAUAUAGUAGUAAGGUCUUAUCCCAUUAUUAGUAGCCGAAGUGUGGGCCGGCUAAUUCAGGAAAAAACUUUCACAUGNNNNNNNCUUCACUGCACUCACUGGAGAGAGGGUAACAUAUCCUAUAUAGUAGUAAGGUCUUAUCCCAUUAUUAGUAGCCGAAGUGUGGGCCGGCUAAUUCAGGAAAAAACAUUCACAUGUGCAUAGGAAGACUUGAACAUGUUU
rnacentral:lncRNA from 1 species